rnacentral:rRNA from 1 species
UGGUUCAUUAGAGGAAGUAAAAGUCGUAACAAGGUUUCCGUAGGUGAACCUGCGGAAGGAUCAUUAUCGAGUUCAUGCCCUAUGGGUAGAUCUCCCACCCUGUUUUAUCGUACCUCAUGUUGCUUUGGUGGGACGUCCGCCUCGGCCACUGGCGCCCGUCAGUGUGCGCCCGCCAAAGGUCCCGAAACCCUGAUCAUGAACUGUGACGACCGAGUAUUAGUAAGAUAGUUAAAACUUUCAACAACGGAUCUCUUGGUUCUGGCAUCGAUGAAGAACGCAGCGAAAUGCGAUAAGUAAUGUGAAUUGCAGAAUUCAGUGAAUCAUCGAAUCUUUGAACGCACAUUGCGCCCCUCGGUAUUCCGAGGGGCAUGCCUGUCCGAGCGUCAUGAGACCAAUCAAGCUCUGCUUAGUAUUUGGCCGCGCCGGCAAUGGCCGGCCUCAAAUUCAGUGGCGGUGUCGCGGGGCUCCGGACGUAGUAGCAUCGUUCGUUACGGAUCUCCGCGGUGAGCGACCAGAAACCCUCGACUCUUCAGGUUGACCUCGGAUCAGGUAGGAGUACCCGCUGAACUUAAGCAUAUCAU